rnacentral:lncRNA from 1 species
ACACACACGGAGUGCGUUUUCUAGAGAGCCGAGAGAAGCAUGCCUGCGAGAAUGGGGAUUCCCGCACUCACAAGCUCACCCGCGAGGACCAAGCGAGAGAGGAUGUCUAUGCACAAAGAUAACACGAGAAAUCAUCUGCACGUACAUGGAGACAACAUGUGCGUGCUUGUAGGACAUGUAGAAAAGAGGCCUCGCACUCGUAGGGAUUCUCAAUCCCGUGGAAACACGAAUUCCAUUUUUUCUUUGAAUUCUCGUAAGUCCAAAGCCAAAAAGGACAUUGAUUUUAAUCCUCUCAAGU